rnacentral:rRNA from 1 species
CAAGCGCCGCUUACCAUGCAAGUCGGACGAGAAAGGGGAGCAAUCCCUGAGUAAAGUGGCGUACGGGUGAGUAACACGUGGGUAAUCUACCUUCUUGUGGGGAAUAACCCUGGGAAACCGGGGCUAAUACCGCAUAAGCCCGAAAGGGGAAAGCAGCAAUGCGCAGGAAGAGGAGCCCGCGGCCGAUUAGCUAGUUGGUGGGGUAAAGGCUCACCAAGGCAAAGAUCGGUAGCCGGCCUGAGAGGGCACACGGCCACACUGGCACUGAAACACGGGCCAGACUCCUACGGGAGGCAGCAGUGGGGAAUCUUGCACAAUGGGGGAAACCCUGAUGCAGCGACGCCGCGUGAACGAUGAAGCCCUUCGGGGUGUAAAGUUCUUUCGACAGGAACGAUAAUGACGGUACCUGGAGAAGAAGCUGCGGCUAACUACGUGCCAGCAGCCGCGGUAAUACGUAGGCAGCGAGCGUUGUUCGGAGUUACUGGGCGUAAAGAGUGCGUAGGCGGUCAGCCAAGUUUGGUGUGAAAUCUCCCGGCUCAACUGGGAGGGUGCGCCGAAAACUGGUUGGCUAGAGUAUGGGAGAGGAAAGCGGAAUUCCUGGUGUAGCGGUGAAAUGCGUAGAUAUCAGGAGGAACACCUGUGGUGUAGACAGCUUUCUGGACCAUAACUGACGCUGAGGCACGAAAGCGUGGGUAGCAAACAGGAUUAGAUACCCUGGUAGUCCACGCCCUAAACGAUGCAUGCUUGGUGUGGGCCGUUCAGUCGGUCUGUGCCGGAGCUAACGCGUUAAGCAUGCCGCCUGGGGAGUACGGUCGCAAGG